GACAGAGGCCUCAAGCGUUAGGCGGAAUCACUGGGCUUAAAGCGUGUGUAGGCGGAUCGUUAAGUGUCUUGUGAAAUCCCACGGCUCACCCGUGGAACUGCUGGGCAUACUGGCGAUCUUGGGCCAACUAGGGGCAACUGGAACAAGCGGUGGAGCGGUGAAAUGCGUAGAUAUCGCUUGGAACGCCAAAGGGUGAAAACAGGUUGCUGGGGUUG
rnacentral:rRNA from 1 species